rnacentral:rRNA from 1 species
GAUCCUGGCUUAGGAUGAACGCUAGCUACAGGCUUAACACAUGCAAGUCGAGGGGCAGCAUGUGGUUGCUUGCAACCAAUGAUGGCGACCGGCGCACGGGUGAGUAACGCGUAUCCAACCUUCCCCUUAGUAGAGGAUAGCCCGGCGAAAGUCGGAUUAAUACUCUAUGUUGUAUUUUUGAUGACAUCUGACGAAUACCAAAGAUUUAUCGCUAAGGGAUGGGGAUGCGUCUGAUUAGGUUGCAGGCGGGGUAACGGCCCACCUGGCCUACGAUCAGUAGGGGUUCUGAGAGGAAGGUCCCCACGCUGGUACUGAGACACGGACCAGACUCCUACGGGAGGCAGCAGUGAGGAAUAUUGGUCAAUGGGCGCGAGCCUGAACCAGCCAAGUAGCGUGCAAGGACGACUGCCCUAUGGGUUGUAAACUGCUUUUAUCAGGGAAUAAAGUGAGGCACGCGUGCCUUUUUGUAUGUACCUGAUGAAUAAGGACCGGCUAAUUCCGUGCCAGCAGCCGC